rnacentral:rRNA from 1 species
UGACUUAACCCGGAGAGGAGGCAGUGGCUUAACUCUGUGCCAGCAGCCGCGGUAAUACAGAGACUGCAAGCGUUAUUCGGAUUCACUGGGCGUAAAGGGUGCGCAGGUGGCCAAGUGUGUUAGGCGUGAAAGCCCGGGGCUUAACCUCGGGAUUGCACCUAAAACUACAUGGCUAGAGCAUUGGAGAGGGGAGCAGAAUUCACGGUGUAGCAGUGAAAUGCGUGGAUAUCGUGAGGAAUACCAGAGGCGAAGGCGGCUCCCUGGACAAUUGCUGACACUCAGGCACGAAAGCGUGGGGAGCAAAAGGGAUUAGAUACCCCUGUAGUCCACGCCCUAAACGGUGCACACUAGGUCUUGGAGGAUUCGACCCCACCAGGGCCCAAGCUAACGCGUUAAGUGUGCCGCCUGAGGACUACGGCCGCAAGGCUAAAACUCAAAGGAAUUGACGGGGGCCCGCACAAGCGGUGGAGUAUGUGGCUCAAUUCGAUGCAACGCGAAGAACCUUACCAGGCCUUGACAUGCACUAGACAGACGCUGAAAGGCGUUCUCCCUUCGGGGCUGGUGCACAGGUGCUGCAUGGCUGUCGUCAGCU